CCGCCCCAUCCCUGCUUGCGCCGCCUCUGCUCCAUCGGCCCAUUCCAUCACCUCCGACGCUGGCCACUGGAGAAGGCGCCCCCCUGAGACCCUUUUCUUCCCCAAGCCUUCUGUCCUCGAGUUCCAGCCGACGUCCAUGGUGGUUGCAGAGGAUGGGAGCAAGGGGAUGGCAUCGAGGAGCUCCGCCCACUUCUUCGCGCCAGCCGCCGAUGCAGCUCUGCCUCCAUCCCCACGCUUGCAGCGACGGUGGUCCACGGCACCGUCACCAUCUUCCUCGGCAGGAGCAACACGCCCGACGCUGCUCCGCUGUUGCCGUCAAGCGCUGCUUCGCCUCUGUCGUCCCUGCACUUCUGUAUCCAUCUUAUUCCUGGAAGGUUCUUACGACAGGUUAGUUCCUGUACUUGACGGUUCCUUUAAUCUUUAUUCCAAAUUAGUUGCAAGUAGGCCGUGAAUGCAUAGCAUGGUUCGUUGGAUGUAUUGCUUGGAGAUAGACAAAUAAAUAAAUGCCAAUGAGAUGUUCUUUGUGUUGGAUUCGUUGGAUAUUUUUUCCAAGGAGGUUGUUGCCGGAGGAAACUGCUAGCAAAUGUGGAGGCUUCAUAAUUGAAACUAGCGCGCGAGGAGCUUGACUGAUUGAUUGUGUCUUGCAAGAGUCAUGGACCACAAAGGUGGGCAGGUGACGGGUUUGUCGCUCUGCCCGGGUGCGCUCAGGACGGUGCUCCUGUUCUUGUUUUUGCUCUGGUUGAUCUUUCCCAUGCAGGCAGUUCGUAUGACUGGAGCUGUUGCUUCUUGUUGUGCUUUUUAGGGUUCCUGUGAGGUGAGCUGGUUGCUUGUUCUCAUUCCUGGGUCGGGCAACGGGUGUUCCUUUUAGUUUCAUCUAAGUUGAGCUUCGUCUGCCAUUGAGGUUCAGUGUACUACAUGUGGAAUGGUCUCAAAUCUCUAUGAGAAUAUGAUGGACGGGCUUGACUGUUGAAAUUCAGUUCAUUGCUGUAGAGUGGCUUGAUGGGGACAAUAAGUCCAAAUGUGAUGGACCGGGACACACAUCCUGCUACAUCCCAAAGUUUUUUUUCCUGAUAUAAUGAUGCUGAAAGAAUCAGAAAAUUCAGAGUCAAUCCUGAUAUAGGACACUUUUUUGAAUUUUUGCUGUUGGUGGUCGUCGUCGCAGCUCCUUCCCUCCACGUCGAAGACCUUAUGGCUGAGCUUGUCUCAUGGUGGUCGUCGAGCUCAUCUGGAUUGCGGCUGUAUGUGUGCAAUUUGGUAUGAAUAUCGCCCUUCCCUCCCUUUCACUCUCCUACCCACCAUAGGAACUUUUGGCACAUAUUCGAUCCAGAUGCAUGAUUAUUGGUGAGAUCUUUCGAUGAUUCUGUUAGCACUUUAAUAUGAACCUCUGGAGUAUUGUUAUGAUUUUGUUAGCACUACCAUACGCUGAUUAGGUCAUUUGUUGAGUUAUUCCAGAAUCUAUUAUGAGUUUCUUUGGUUGAAACUAUCAGCUGUGCCUAUGUUUAAUAAUUCUAAAAUUAAGAAACAGUAUGACAGAACGACCUAGGAGCCUCCACAGCGCUUUGCUGUCGCUCGCCGUCCGAUUGCAUCGAUCGCAAGUCGUCUGGUUGUCUUCACUCGUUUCUUGGGCCGCUACUCUGCAGAACUCUCUAGCUCUGUUGUGGUUGAUUGGGCUGGUAUUGUAACCGGGCCGGUGCACUGAAUUCAUUGGCCUGUUUAGAUGGUCCACGCCUUUCUUUCAUCCCCGCACCCUGAUCCCUCCCUCUCCCGUCCGAGUUGCCGCCGUUCUUCUCCUCCCCGCCAGCACCGCUCAGGCAGCCACCUCGCCUAAAAGAUAAGGUCACGAAAUAAAAUCUCCAUCGGUGGCGUCUCCUCUAAUAUUCCCGUGAUCAGCGGGCAGUGAAUACAGAGCGAGGCAGGCAACGACGGAUUGGCCUGGGUGGGGAGAUGCGGCCGACCAGGUCACGCCAUUGUGCUCGCCUUGAACAAUCAGGCGGAGGAUGUGGCACGGUUUUUCUGGCGGGUGCCCGGUGGACCUAUUCCGCUGCACUGCGUCGCCACCGGUGUGGGAGGGCAGUUACGCCGGCGUUGGUAUAAAAUGGCAGAGCUUCCGAGAGCAGUAGGAUGGCGGUUCCAAUAGCUGGGACGUGCGAGAGAGCAGAGGUCGAGCGUCAAGGUGCACUUCUACUCCGGCCGCCUCCAGCCGUGCAGAGGUCCCACACCACUGCAUUCUUCGGGCGCUUCUCUGUGCUGGGUGAUGGGAAGAUGAAGAUGAAGAUGCGGAUCAUGGGUAGGCAGGUAAAACUGGGACUGGGUUGAGCACUUGAGGCUUGCCGCAACUGUAAGAGGCCAACAUCUCCUACUAACAUGCUUCUGUGGCUUGUGGUGGCUCGACACCUUCUACGGCAGACACAUGUUCAAAUCCCCAUCGACUCAUAUAUGGAUGACAAAGCACAAUGUUGUCGUUAGCAUGAGUUUUAUGGCUCUUGCCGGGGAUCCAUGUGGCCAGUCACAUGGCUUGAUCGAGCGACCUCCCAUAGAACUUGCACUGCCUCCACCUAGAUUCCUUGGUGAUAUAUCAUAUAUCUACUUCCGAUCCCCUUUUCUUCACAAAUCCAUGACUCCGAUGUAUUUCCAUGGGUUGCUACAAAAUGCAUGUAUCUUGGUAUGAUGUAGAUGAAACAUGUCAAAUAUUCUUACACUAUCUGCUUAAUUUCCUCUCAAGCCAAUCGACUUUGAUUGGAUGAUCACUUCAUUUUCUGCUUUGCUUGUC